rnacentral:rRNA from 1 species
AGAGUUUGAUCCUGGCUCAGGAUGAACGCUGGCGGCGCGCCUAACACAUGCAAGUCGAACGAGCGAGAGAGAGCUUGCUUUCUCGAGCGAGUGGCGAACGGGUGAGUAACGCGUGAGGAACCUGCCUCAAAGAGGGGGACAACAGUUGGAAACGACUGCUAAUACCGCAUAAGCCCACGGGUCGGCAUCGACCAGAGGGAAAAGGAGCAAUCCGCUUUGAGAUGGCCUCGCGUCCGAUUAGCUGGUUGGUGAGGUAAUGGCCCACCAAGGCAACGAUCGGUAGCCGGACUGAGAGGUUGAACGGCCACAUUGGGACUGAGACACGGCCCAGACUCCUACGGGAGGCAGCAGUGGGGAAUAUUGCACAAUGGGGGAAACCCUGAUGCAGCGACGCCGCGUGGAGGAAGAAGGUCUUCGGAUUGUAAACUCCUGUUGUUGAGGAAGAUAAUGACGGUACUCAACAAGGAAGUGACGGCUAACUACGUGCCAGCAGCCGCGGUAAAACGUAGGUCACAAGCGUUGUCCGGAAUUACUGGGUGUAAAGGGAGCGCAGGCGGGAAGACAAGUUGGAAGUGAAAUCCAUGGGCUCAACCCAUGAACUGCUUUCAAAACUGUUUUUCUUGAGUAGUGCAGAGGUAGGCGGAAUUCCCGGUGUAGCGGUGGAAUGCGUAGAUAUCGGGAGGAACACCAGUGGCGAAGGCGGCCUACUGGGCACCAACUGACGCUGAGGCUCGAAAGUGUGGGUAGCAAACAGGAUUAGAUACCCUGGUAGUCCACACCGUAAACGAUGAUUACUAGGUGUUGGAGGAUUGACCCCUUCAGUGCCGCAGUUAACACAAUAAGUAAUCCACCUGGGGAGUACGACCGCAAGGUUGAAACUCAAAGGAAUUGACGGGGGCCCGCACAAGCAGUGGAGUAUGUGGUUUAAUUCGACGCAACGCGAAGAACCUUACCAAGUCUUGACAUCCCUUGACGAUGCUGGAAACAGUAUUUCUCUUCGGAGCAAGGAGACAGGUGGUGCAUGGUUGUCGUCAGCUCGUGUCGUGAGAUGUUGGGUUAAGUCCCGCAACGAGCGCAACCCUUAUGGUCAGUUACUACGCAAGAGGACUCUGGCCAGACUGCCGUUGACAAAACGGAGGAAGGUGGGGAUGACGUCAAAUCAUCAUGCCCUUUAUGACUUGGGCUACACACGUACUACAAUGGCGUUAAACAAAGAGAAGCAAGACCGCGAGGUGGAGCAAAACUCAGAAACAACGUCCCAGUUCGGACUGCAGGCUGCAACUCGCCUGCACGAAGUCGGAAUUGCUAGUAAUCGUGGAUCAGCAUGCCACGGUGAAUACGUUCCCGGGCCUUGUACUCACCGCCCGUCA